UCUAUCAGGUUAGGGUUUCAACUUUUAUCUUUGAUGCAAGAGAAGGACAGUGGCGAUCUGCUUCGCUUUCUCUUUCCGAGAACGAAUCACCGCCGCCGGUGAGUAUGCCUUUCGUACCAGUUCCGCCGAUCGUAAAUAGGGCUGUUAUUAACACUUGUUCAAACGCCGUAAUGAGCACAGGAGUCACAUCCAUAGUCAGCAGCGGCGAUCUGAGUAGGAAGAAGAAGAGAGGACGGCCAAGGAAGUACUACGCCAACGUUAAUUUGAGGAUUCCGGUUGUGUCGCCGUCGCUCACCGUAUUUACAUUAACAUCGCCGAAGUCGGAGUUCACUUCCAAACGAGGUCGAGGACUGGAAAGUACUUGCUUCUUUAGGGGAAUUGUUCACUAGUACCGCGGGAGGGGAUUUUACUCUGCAUGUGAUGACUGUUUACUGAGGAGAGGCUAUCGCAUCAAAGAUAAUUUCAUUUUCACAAAAUGUUCACGAGGGAUUUGGCCAACGGUUUUGUGACAAAUAAGGACUGCAGCCUUCUAGCUCUAGAAAUCAUAUGAAACAAAGCAGUAUAAGAAGGGUUUGAAGGCAGCAGAUGCCAUAUUGAAGAAGUUUCCAAACCAUGGAGAAACCUUAUCAAUGAAGGGUUUGACAUUGAACUGCAUGGACCGCAAAGCAGAAGCUUAUGAACUUGUACGGCUUGGACUGAAGAAUGAUCUCAAAAGUCAUGUUUGCUGGCAUGUUUAUGGUCUCAUAUAUCGGUCAGACAGAGAAUACAGAGAGGCAAUUAAGUACUACAGAAAUGCUUUUAAGGAUUGAUCCAGACAACAUUGAAAUUCUAAGGGACCUAUCACUCUUACAGGCUCAAAUGCGUGAUUUGAUGGGUUUCGUUGAAACCAGACAGCAAUUGCCGACUCUGAAGCCAAACCAUCGUAUGAACUGGAUUGGUUUUGCAGUUGCUCAUCACCUAAAUUCUAAUGCUUCAAAAGCAGUUGACAUACUUGAAGCGUAUGAAGGGACCGUCGAGGAUGAUUGUUGAUGAGCUAAAGCUGCCAGUUCUAGCAUAAGACGGAGAAAGCUGAUGGGAGAAGGCUGAAGAGUUUGAAGCUGAGGAGAGUUCAGUCGAGGAUCAGUCUGCUGGCUUUGACUUAGUUUAGUUCUGCUUCUUUUUUUUUUUAAUAUGUAAGGCAAAAUUUCCCACAUCGCUACUUUAAACAUAUAAUUGUAUGUAUAUAAUUAAAUGGAAAUCAAAGUAUUAUAGUUGGGCUAAUAAUAUGGGUCGGUGGCCCAUUUGGGCAAAAUUAUGCCCUUUGAAAGUC